rnacentral:rRNA from 1 species
AGAUUGAACGCUGGCGGCAGGCCUAACACAUGCAAGUCGAGCGGUAGAGAGGUGCUUGCACCUCUUGAGAGCGGCGGACGGGUGAGUAAAGCCUAGGAAUCUGCCUGGUAGUGGGGGAUAACGCUCGGAAACGGACGCUAAUACCGCAUACGUCCUACGGGAGAAAGCAGGGGACCUUCGGGCCUUGCGCUAUCAGAUGAGCCUAGGUCGGAUUAGCUAGUUGGUGAGGUAAUGGCUCACCAAGGCGACGAUCCGUAACUGGUCUGAGAGGAUGAUCAGUCACACUGGAACUGAGACACGGUCCAGACUCCUACGGGAGCAGCAGUGGGAA